rnacentral:rRNA from 1 species
UAUGGUAAGUGCCAGCAGCCGCGGUAAUACGGAAGGUCCGGGCGUUAUCCGGAUUUAUUGGGUUUAAAGGGAGCGUAGGCCGGAGAUUAAGCGUGUUGUGAAAUGUAGAUGCUCAACAUCUGCACUGCAGCGCGAACUGGUUUCCUUGAGUACGCACAAAGUGGGCGGAAUUCGUGGUGUAGCGGUGAAAUGCUUAGAUAUCACGAAGAACUCCGAUUGCGAAGGCAGCUCACUGGAGCGCAACUGACGCUGAAGCUCGAAAGUGCGGGUAUCGAACAGG